rnacentral:rRNA from 1 species
AGUAAACGCUGGCGGUAGGCCUAACACAUGCAAGUCGAACGGCAGCACAGAGGAGCUUGCUCCUUGGGUGGCGAGUGGCGGACGGGUGAGGAAUACAUCGGAAUCUACUCUGUCGUGGGGGAUAACGUAGGGAAACUUACGCUAAUACCGCAUACGACCUACGGGUGAAAGCAGGGGACCUUCGGGCCUUGCGCGAUUGAAUGAGCCGAUGUCGGAUUAGCUAGUUGGCGGGGUAAAGGCCCACCAAGGCGACGAUCGGUAGCUGGUCUGAGAGGAUGAUCAGCCACACUGGAACUGAGACACGGUCCAGACUCCUACGGGAGGCAGCAGUGGGGAAUAUUGGACAAUGGGCGCAAGCCUGAUACAGCCAUACCGCGUGGGUGAAAAAGGCCUUCGGGUUGUAAAGCCCUUUUGUUGGGAAAGAAAUCCAGCUGGCUAAUACCCGGUUGGGAUGACGGUACCCAAAGAAUAAGCACCGGCUAACUUCGUGCCAGCCGCCGCAGUAA